CGUAGGGUGCGAGCGUUGUCCGGAAUUAUUGGGCGUAAAGAGCUCGUAGGCGGCCUGUUGCGUCUGCUGUGAAAGCCCGGGGCUUAACCCCGGGUCUGCAGUGGAUACGGGCAGGCUAGAGUUCGGCAGGGGAGACUGGAAUUCCUGGUGUAGCGGUGAAAUGCGCAGAUAUCAGGAGGAACACCGGUGGCGGAGGCGGGUCUCUGGGCCGAUACUGACGCUGAGGAGCGAAAGCGUGGGGAGCGAACAGGAUUAGAUACCCUGGUAGUCCACGCCGUAAACGUUGGGCGCUAGGUGUGGGGUCCCUUCCACGGGUUCCGUGCCGUAGCUAACGCAUUAAGCGCCCCGCCUGGGGAGUACGGCCGCAAGGCUA
rnacentral:rRNA from 1 species